GAUGAACGCUGGCGGCGUGCCUAAUACAUGCCAGUCGAGCGAACAGACGAGGAGCUUGCUCCUCUGACGUUAGCGGCGGACGGGUGAGUAACACGUGGAUAACCUACCUAUAAGACUGGGAUAACUUCGGGAAACCGGAGCUAAUACCGGAUAAUAUAUUGAACCGCAUGGUUCAAUAGUGAAAGACGGUUUUGCUGUCACUUAUAGAUGGAUCCGCGCCGCAUUAGCUAGUUGGUAAGGUAACGGCUUACCAAGGCGACGAUGCGUAGCCGACCUGAGAGGGUGAUCGGCCACACUGGAACUGAGACACGGUCCAGACUCCUACGGGAGGCAGCAGUAGGGAAUCUUCCUCAAUGGGCGAAAGCCUGACGGAGCAACGCCGCGUGAGUGAUGAAGGUCUUCGGAUCGUAAAACUCUGUUAUUGGGGAAGAACAAAUGUGUAAGUAACUAUGCACGUCUUGACGGUACCUAAUCAGAAAGCCACGGCUAACUACGUG
rnacentral:rRNA from 1 species